AAAGAAACUUGACAUUUUAUUUAAUUGCAAUUUCCAGAAGGCUUUCUGAAAUAAUUGUAAAUAGCUUGUGGACCUUUCUUCCUUCCCUUCCUUUUAAAGCUAAUCCCUUACCUCUGUUAUGAAUCUCUUCCUGUCCUCCUUUCCUGGGGAUGAUGAUGACUCUAUCAGUUAUCCUUAUGUCAAUAAUCCUCUCUUCGGGUCUUCUUUAACUCUCCUUCUCUCCUGGCUGUUUCCCUUCCACCAGUAAGUUUCUCUUUCUAGUGAGACACAUCCAUGGAUUCUGUCACUGUGUGUUUACCUCUCUGUCUGUCUUUCCUUCUCUGAUAAGUAUCUAGAAAGAGUAGUGCUGAUUUUGUGGUGUCCACUUGAUCCACUCCCAUUCUCCCUUCUAUGUGAUGCUCUAAUAUGCUGCCUCCUGUCCAUCCCCUUGCUGUUUCAAACAUGAUUUCUUGCCUGAAUUGCUUAUUCUUUUAGGUCACCUUCCUCAGGUCUAGCUCCCAAAACCAAUCUUACUGCCUCUCCACCAUAUCUCUAACCCAACUGAACUUUCGUAAGCUCAAAUCAUAUGAUGUUAAAAACUACCUAGUGACUCCAUGUUUAUUUGCCUAUCCCUAAGUUUUCCAGAAUGUUUACUAAUACUCAACAGGUUACUUCACCCCCUGAUAAUCUGAUAAAAAGAGAAACCAUCUGAUAGAAACUCUUUCAACCCAUGCAUUACUUGAAAUAAAAACAAAAACAGAUUACCACAUUUUAUUCCUCCUCUCCCUUUUUUUAAAACCAAAUACCUAUUUCCCAUUGUAUCACAGGAGGUCAUGGGGAUAAGGAAGACAGGAAAAGGAGGUGGAAAUGGAGCAGCCAACACAAUAGGAGGAGCACAGUUUUUGAGGGUACAAUGUGAUGGUUUGAUAUUAGUAUACUUUGCGAAAUGAUUGCCACAAUCAGAAGAACUUUCUCCUUUAAAGACCUGCUCCAUUUGCCUCUUCAAUGAAUUCAUUUAGGUUUAUGCAUUUAUUUAUUGUUCUGCUGUAUUCUGGAUCAUCAGGCUGCUUUCUUGAAGUCAUCUGCUUCUGAACCAAAGAGUCCUGGAUAUCUCUUCUCGUUCCUACAUGUAUCUGACCAUUGGGCAAGCAAUGUUAUCUUUAUGCUCUGAAGUUGUUACUCAUGAGCCUAUUUGUUAGAAUAUCAAUGAUUAAGAGUAUGUGACACAAUCCUUUCCAUGAAAUUUUGCAAUUGUCCUUCUAUAUUGAAGAUUAAAAUUUUAACUUGUGAGCCUUUUGGCCAGCAUCAAAAGAUAACAGAAAUCAUUUGUCAGUGGGACUAAAUGAUGGUGGUUACUUUGUUGUAAUAACCAACAAUGUCAAAACUGAAGACAGUAAAAGUCUUUGUUGAGUGCAGUACAUAAUUUUUCAUAAGAAUUUGAUCACUGUUUUCCUGGGGUUAAAAAUGUCUUGUGGACAAGUGAGAGUACUGACAAAUCUCCAAGAUCUUUCAAUUCAUUCAAUCUCAGAAACACUUAUGUGAGCAAUAUUAUAUCUAUAAAAUUUACCUUUUAAUUUGAUCAUUGUUUUGAUCAGUUUUUAACUUAGUGUUGAACUAAUUGAGAAACACAGAACAUGUUAAGAAAACAAUUAUUUUGGCCAUUAUUUCUUUUAUAAGGCAAACAAACAAAUCUUCAUGAAUUUUAAGGAGUAUUCUGGGAAAUUUCAAAGUUAUUUAGGUGUAAAGAAAAUCCUGAAAUUUUAAUUUUUCUGAAUCUAGGAUUUUAUUAGGAGAAAGCAAAUCAAAAGUUAUAAGGGUACUUUAUACUUUAGAUCACCUAUUACAACAGGAUCUGGUACUCCUGAGAUGCAAUAAAUUGGCAACCUAUUAAUCAAAAUGAUAAUAUAAUAUUCUGAAAAACAAGAAUGUAGCAAUUGAAAGAGAUGAGGAACUUUAUUCUUUUGUUGCUUAAUGAUCAAAGGCUUGAGAAAGUCAGCACAAAACACAGAAAACUAUUUUGGUAGGAUCUGGAAUUUCCACCAUGCAGACAGAUCACACAGACUGUAGAAGAAGAAACCCAUCAAAAUUGAAUGAACUUUGGCAAAACUUGAACACAUCAUUGCUUCUUUUUAGACUUGUCAUUUGCAGUUUGAGACAAAUGUCUAUUUUUUUCUGUUAAUCUAUACCUUUCUACAUCUAGUCAAGAUUUGUCUAUAAUCCUUUAACACAAUGUAGAGAAAACAGACUUUUUUGCUUUAAACAAAACUACCCUUCUUAAAAACAAAAGCACAUUCCAUUACUUUGCAUUCACAGUUGUACUUUUCUGCCACUAUUGCUUUUGUAUAGUUUUUUAUGACCUAUAAUGAAUUAUAACUUUCAAUCAGAUUAACUAAUUACUACUUCAUAGAGAAAACUAGAAGGGAGUGUAGAAGUAUCAUAUACAAUUUGACAAAUUAGCAGAAUUAAUGAAUACACACAUAAAGCAUUCUAGAGAUACACACAUCCUUUUUACAUUUUGUUAGCAAACUGAACAAAAUCAUUAAUAUGACCAACAAAUAUAUCCACUAUAAAAAACAAAAGCAUAUAUAUUAAGAAUAUGUUGGGUGACCAUAUUUCAGUGUUAUAUUUUGCUUAGAAACUAUCUAGGUGUCCAAAAUUAUACAAUAAGUAACUACAUGGUGCUGGGGGCAAUGAAAGGAAAGCAAGUAAAUAUUUAAAGAAGGGCUCAGUUUAAAAACUCAAGUUCUGGGACAGUAAAAAGGGGCCUUUUAGUAGUGAUGGGACUGCCAUCCACUCCAUUAUCAUUAGACCCUCUUUUUUAAGGCCACUGCAGUGUAAGUGACAACAGUGUGCAUGCUCGUCUGAUAGCUCCUGGGCAAGUCCUUCUGCUUUCCCUUUUGGAAGUCACCUAGAAUAUAUCACAUUUUUUGAUGCACUUGAUCAGGAAUCAUUGCUGAUCUACAAAAAAUUUCAGGAGGAAAUUUAGGCAAAUCUUAAAAUGGACUAAGGGAGACAUUGCUCAGUACUUUUCUUUUUCCCCAGUGUGAAAUUGGUAAGAGAAUAUUCUGAGUGGGAAAAAAAAGUAGGAGGAGGAAAGAGGAAAUAUUGAAGAAGCAUUAUCCUCUAGUCUAACAGUUGGGUGAAAAGGCAGUUGUAAGACCAGGGAUCUUUUCAUAUUGAAGAUAUGAAGAACACUAGGUUCUUUGUUUAUAGCUAUCUUGUUGUUUUCUUCAUUUAAGGUCCUUUGAAACUCAGUUUUAUGAUCUGCUCUAAACUAGCCAACUUGCUGUUCUGGCUUCCCAACAUUUCAAAAUUUCUUCUUAAUAUAAUCUCCUUUGUUUACCCUAUAUAUUGAUAUGAGGUUCUACUUUUUUUGUUCCUUAUUUAAGAAAGGAAAAAAGAAAGACAAGGAGGGAGAGAGAAAGGCAAGGAGAGAGAGCCAAGGGACAUAGGAAUUGAGGAAGGAGAGAGAGAGAGAGAGAGAAAAGGAAAGGGGUUGGGGAGGGACCUGAUUUCUGUUUGUUUGGUCACUAGCCUGUUACAGGAGAGUUAGUCCGGUUACUGUUAUAGGCCUGGGAUUGCCUUUUCUUGUUCUGAGCACUGGGGUAGUAGUAAAACCCUCAAACUUCAACUUUCCUUACACUCUAUUAUUAUUCUUUCAUUAAUAUCAUGAAUCAGUAAAUAUUAUUCAAUACUUCCUAUGUGCCAAGCCCUAUACUAGAGGAUGUGAAUGUGGUCGUCAAUUAAGGCAUCCUUGCCCUCUUUAAUUUUUUGCUCUGGUGGGAGGUGUUAAAAAAUAAACAUAUGUAAGUAAAAUAAAAUUUAAUAUGGAUUGCUGAAAAAAGAUCUUUUUGUUGUUGUUCUUGCUGUUGCUCCUGAAUUGAUGGCUAGAAGCCAAAUCUGAGGUUAAAAAAUAUGUUGAGUGCUCUGAAUUCUAAAGAGAGCAGCAAAGGACUGGGGACAGACAUCUCCACAAGGUUUGUAGUUGCUUUACUGAUUCUCCCAAAUGUCAGGCCAGGCCCUGUUUCUUCACUCCUAUUCAGUUUUUCAUAGAAUUAAAGAAGGAAUAGAGGGAGAAGGAGAAAAUGAGCUACCUAAAGUAAGAAUGCUUGGCAUUUACUUUUCCUCUACUUGGUGAAGUUGAGGUUUCCCCGAAAAGUCAACUGAAUGUUUGUUAACCACAAAGGCAAGUGAGAGGAUCGGCAAGAGAGCUGCAAGAGAUACCCCACAGAGAUUGGGGUAUUUGCAAGAGACUGCAGCUUGUUUUCUGAUGGAUCAUCUGCUUAUGCAUGUAUUUGUGGAGCUGCCUCUAUGCCAUUUUAACACAGGGGGGAAAAAAUCAGAAACAAAUUGCAGAACAGAGAGAGUAGCCUGUCUUCGAUACUUUGCCUGGAAAAGUUAGGGAAGCUCCCCAGUUCACAUACAACACUAUGAUGGUAGGUGGACUUGAGCUGCCUUCCUGGUGCCUCGCCUGGUGAGUAGGUCUUGACACUAAGAGCUUUAUGGUGUGCCACAGGGCAGCUGUUGUGGGAACUUUGGAAGAAGUAAGACAGAAAGGGUUUGUGUAUGUCAGGAUUCCCUGGAGUUUUCUGAAGAGCCAGCAGUUGGAGGUAUGCUGUAAGGAGAAUAUCAAAGGUUAGGUGAUAUGUACCAAAGCCUCUGUGACGAAAGAAGCACUGCCUUCGGGCAGCCAGUUACCUAAGAUCUUCACUAUCUUUCAUAUUUGUGUUCCUUUUCAUCUCCAAUUUAAAAGCCUUAAUAUUGGAAGGAAUGGAGAAGAGGUAUGAAGGAGGAUACUGGAAAGGAACAUCUUGGAAAAGAGAAUGAGACUGAGGUUUAAAAAUGAACUAGACUGGACUUUGAAUAAUUGAAAGUGACCCAACAGCUUUAAGAGCUGCCUGCAUUUUGUUAAGAGGCAGGAAAAGAAAAUUAAACAGUACAAGGUUAAGGCAGUCUUUGGAAAAAAAUAAAGCUGUUUCAUGUUUGUUCCUCCAUAGAGUUCAAACUGUAAGUAAACUGAUUACAAAUAAAUAGGAUAACUUUGUUUGGUGUUAAUGCUAUGAAGCAAAUAGAUAAUGAGUCCAAAGUAACUAUGAAGACGGGAGUGGGUAGGAAGAUACUUUAUCUUUGGUGGUCUGGGAAGCCUCUUUAGGAUGAGAAUUUCCAUGAUGAGAAAGAGCCACUCAUUCCAAACUUUGGGACAAAGUGUAAAAAUCCCCAACAUAGGACUAACAAAGGAAUAUCAACAUGGAUGGGGUUUGGUUUGUGAGGCAAGCAGUGAUAGAAGAUACUUCUGUCAAAGUAGGCAGAGACCAGGUAGCAGAAGGCCAUGGAGGCCAUAGUAAAAUAUUUUGAUGGUUACUUUACUUUGCUUAAAAAAUUUUAAAGGAUUUUUUCUUGGCUCUAACCUCUUUGUAGAAGAUUCUGAAUUUUUAACUUCAUUUUAUUUAAUGGAUCACAUAUCACAUAUCAUUCUAAAUAAUUCUGAUCUCAGAGGUAAGAAACUGAUAAGACACCUUGCAUUUGUUCUCUUAUGAACUCAAUGCUACUGUUAUAUCAAGAUAGUUAUAAAAAAUUCAUUUAUGUAUUCAUUUAUCAUCUCACUCAACACUUCAAACUUUAGGAUUAGAUUCUCACCCAUCAUGAGGGGUUUGCAUACUUACGUAGUUAUAAUUGGCAUCUAGAUUGUAGAUGAUAUAUAUGUUUGCUGUAAGACUGAAAUUAUAUGUUCAAGUGUUGUAAAUAGUUCAUAUUAAUCAUGCCAAAAGAAAGAAGAGCAAACUAUUAAUUUGCCAGUGUAUAGAAAAUGUGUGGAAAAUAAUGAGAGCAUGGCAACUUCAAGUUCGGCCCUUUGGUAUUUAUCAUUUAAACCCCCAAACAGGAAACCUUUCCUCUUGGACUUAGCUUUAAACUCUACAGGUAGAAAUCUCUGGCCUGAUCAGUACACAUUUUCUCUCAUUGCAGUGCAGUUCUUCCAUAACCACAUUAGAGAAUGUGCAGACUACUAAGGAUGUGUGCUCAGCCCGCUUGCAACAAUGUUCCCAGCUUCUUCUCUAAUAUGAAUUACAGAUGUCUCAGCACAUCCUUAAACUUCUCCCUGCUACACUUAUGCAAAUAGUCACUCUGAAUCCAACAUGAUACCUUUUAGUUAAUCCUGGAACAUUAAGUAUUGCAGCUGUCUCAUGGAAGAAACUGAGAGAAAAAUUUCUGUUCAGUAUGGAAAUAACUCUAUAAAGCUCAUGAUAAAUGAAGGCUUAUGAAUAGUGUAUCAGUUAUUGUAGUCAUCAUUACACGAGUAUAUUUCCUUGGGUUCUUAUGGGAAAUUACUUUUUUGGCACAUUCUUGGGAAUUAUUUCCUAUGUUCCAUUAGCUCUGCAGGAUGACAUCCUAAAAUGACGGAUGCAGUUCUAUUGUUUUGUUAGAGUGCUGUAUAACUGCUCUUAGGGCUCCUUGUUUGAAUGCACAUUAUAUUCUCUUUGAAUAUUAUCUGAGAAUAUGAUUCAUUGUUUAGUCUUAAUGUUUUCAAAAAAUCACCUAAUGAACAAGAAGGAAGCGUUAUUCUGGUGAAAAGAGUAAUAAAUAGUAGAGCAGGUAAUCUCUGUUCUAGUCUUGAUUCCACAGCUAAGUAUGUGACCUGUGACAAACUUAGCUAUAGCAUCUGUUUCUUCAUCUGUAACUUAUUUUUAAAAUUCCCUUAAGUUUAUAUUUUUUAUUUUCCUAAGACUUUCAACAUUUAGUAAAUAUUAACUCUAUAACUUAAAAUCUUGUUGGAGAGACAAAAUUGAAAUACAAAAAUGAUAGAAAAUAUAUAAUCAACUACUGACUUAUAUAGUAUGUUAGUAAGGGAUAUUGAUUGCAAGUAACAGAAGUCCACUGACUAAAUUAAGCAAAAACUGAGUUGUUUUAAAAAAUAUCAGAGGCUCUCAGAAGUAGUUGGAGGCUAGGUAGGUGGCCAGGCUUGGGAAUGGGGAGGAUUCCAGGGAGCUCUGAAGAGCAGAGAAGCAGGAUAUAUAGCCACCAUAGCUUGGCUGGAACAGUCUGGAUUCUGCUGUUAUGCUGACACUACUGUAUAUGACUGUCAACCAUUUGUUUUGUUCUUGCCUCACUUGCUCCAAUUGAUACUGUAGUAUUAAAGCAUUCAGUGGGCUGACGUUAGGUCGUGUGCCCACCCUGUGGUUGUAUUUAGAGAUGGGAGCCUGAUAAAGCAGACACCUACAAUUACUCUCCAAUUGCAAUCACAUGCAAGGAGGGGAAAUCAUUCCCUAAAAGGACAUGAGAGUGCUAUUAAGAAGUAGAAUGGCUCAUGACACAUGUCCACUGUGUAUUACAUUGCAGAGGCUAGAGAAGCUAGUUCAGUUUACACUGGAAUUAUUGAGAGACUUUAAGAAAAAGACUGCAUAAACAGAAACUGAGAUGAGGUCAGUAAAGGGGGAUUUAAUGUUACAUCAAAAAAAGAAACAGCAAUGAUGACAACAAAACAAGAAAAAUAUGUCUAAGCCACCAAAACUCAGCCUAUGGGACUUGCAAUAUUAUUUCUGAUUAGCUACUUAGAAUCUUUUAGUUCUCAGAGGGGUUUUUAUCGUCACUUGUGAGAAAGUUCUUGGCAUAGUCCAUUCUCUAAACUUAGGAAAACUGAGUCUUCUCAUCAGAGAUCACUAUCACUCCUUCAAAAGCAUCCUGAAAAUGCAGUCACAUUCCCAGGAAACUGAGGAAUUUAUGGUUCCUCAGUGUCCACACCCAUUCAAAAGAUAU